UGGGGAAUCUUGGACAAUGGGCGAAAGCCUGAUCCAGCCAUGCCGCGUGAAUGAUGAAGGCCCUAGGGUUGUAAAAUUCUUUCGACGGGGAAGAUAAUGACGGUACCCGUAGAAGAAGCUCCGGCUAACUUCGUGCCAGCAGCCGCGGUAAUACGAAGGGGGCUAGCGUUGUUCGGAAUUACUGGGCGUAAAGCGCACGUAGGCGGAUCGAUAAGUAAGGGGUGAAAUCCCAGAGCUCAACUCUGGAACUGCCUUUUAAACUGUCGAUCUGGAGCAGAGUAGAGGUGAGUGGAAUUCCGAGUGUAGAGGUGAAAUUCGUAGAUAUUCGGAGGAACACCAGUGGCGAAGGCGGCUCACUGGACUCUUGCUGACGCUGAGGUGCGAAAGCGUGGGGAGCAAACA
rnacentral:rRNA from 1 species